rnacentral:rRNA from 1 species
GGAAAAGAAACUAACAAGGAUUCCCUUAGUAACGGCGAGUGAACCGGGAAGAGCUCAAAUUUGAAAUCUGGCUGUCUUCGAUAGUCCGAGUUGUAAUCUAUAGAAGCGUUUUCCGUGCUGAACUGUGUCUAAGUCCCUUGGAACAGGGUAUCAAAGAGGGUGACAAUCCCGUACUUGACACAAUCAUCAGUGCUCUGUGAUACGUUCUCUACGAGUCGAGUUGUUUGGGAAUGCAGCUCAAAAUGGGUGGUAAAUUCCAUCUAAAGCUAAAUAUUGGCGAGAGACCGAUAGCGAACAAGUACCGUGAGGGAAAGAUGAAAAGCACUUUGGAAAGAGAGUUAAACAGUACGUGAAAUUGUUAAAAGGGAAACGAUUGAAGUCAGUCGUGUUUAUUGGAUUCAGCCGGUCUUCGGUGUACUUCCUUUAAACGGGUCAACAUCAGUUUUGUCCGGUGGAUAAAGGCAGUAGGAAUGUGGCUCCCUCGGGAGUGUUAUAGCCUAUUGUCACAUACACUGGAGGAGACUGAGGACUGCAGCUCGCCUUUUGGCCGGGGUUCGCCCACGUUCGAGCUUAGGAUGUUGACAUAAUGGCUUUAAACGACCCGUC